rnacentral:rRNA from 1 species
UACGUAGGGCGCAAGCGUUGUCCGGAAUUAUUGGGCGUAAAGAGCUCGUAGGCGGCUUGUCACGUCGGGGUGUGAAAGCCCGGGGCUUAACCCCGGGUCUGCAUUCGAUACGGGCUAGCUAGAGUGUGGUAGGGGAGAUCGGAAUUCCUGGUGUAGCGGUGAAAUGCGCAGAUAUCAGGAGGAACACCGGUGGCGAAGGCGGAUCUCUGGGCCAUUACUGACGCUGGAGGAGCGAAAGCGUGGGGAGCGAACAGG